rnacentral:rRNA from 1 species
AUGAACGCUGGCGGCGUGCCUAAUCCAUGCAAGUCGAGCGAACGGACGAGAAGCUUGCUUCUCUGAUGUUAGCGGCGGACGGGUGAGAAACACGUGGAUAACCUACCUAUAAGACUGGGAUAACUUCGGGAAACCGGAGCUAAUACCGGAUAAUAUUUUGAACCGCAUGGUUCAAAAGUGAAAGACGGUCUUGCUGUCACUUAUAGAUGGAUCCGCGCUGCAUUAGCUAGUUGGUAAGGUAACGGCUUACCAAGGCAACGAUGCAUAGCCGACCUGAGAGGGUGAUCGGCCACACUGGAACUGAGACACGGUCCAGACUCCUACGGGAGGCAGCAGUAGGGAAUCUUCCGCAAUGGGCGAAAGCCUGACGGAGCAACGCCGCGUGAGUGAUGAAGGUCUUCGGAUCGUAAAACUCUGUUAUUAGGGAAGAACAUAUGUGUAAGUAACUGUGCACAUCUUGACGGUACCUAAUCAGAAAGCCACGGCUAACUACGUG